GGCAAAACGUCCGCCCGGGCCCGAGGCGGGCGGAGGCAGCUGUGGUUACGUGCGGGGGGCCGGUGACGCAGUCGCGGGGCGCUGGGACGCGGCUUGCGGAGCCGGCCGGCGAGCGCAGGCCCCAGGCUCGGGCGCGGCGGCGGGACAGCACCUACCUUCCCGGCUUCGGGUCCGGGAGUGCGGGGCGCGGAGCCGCCGGAGCGCUGCCUCCCUCCUUCCUCCUCCCCUCGCCCCCGCCCCGCGGCGCGACACACAAUACUCGCCGGAAGCGGAAGCCGCGCCGAGGCUCGUGUCAGUGGAAGCUGGGGUGUCGGCGGGCGGCCGCGGCCGGGUCUAGCGGUGCCUGCGGAAGAAGGAGGAGGAGGGCUGGCGAUGAGAAGCAGCAGGGGGAAUCAAGGGCAAGAAGGGACCCAGAGGGGCAGGUGGCUGAGAUGCUGGCGUCCAGGUGACCCGAGGAAUCCUCUGGAGAUACAGGCCCGCGCAUGCGCGUGCUCGAGCGCUGAAGCCCAUUGCCCGCAGGGCGCUGGACUGGCGCCCCGGCCGGCGAGGCUGUCUAGUCCAGGCUCCAGGCCCCGGCUCUGGCCAGGCGCCGCCGCCUCCCGGUGCAGCUGAAAGUCGACGAAGAGGGCGGGGCGGGGGCGGCUUGUGGACUUCCACACUUUUCCUCUCUUCGGGCCAGUCUGGGGAGAGGGUGGCUAGCUGUGGCGGCGGCCAAUUACGUGGCGGACCUGCGGGGCUAAGCUGGCACGUCACUUCCGACUAGUGGAGUUUUUAGCCUUUUAACAUUCAAGGAUUAGAGCUCCCUCUUUGCCCACUAGCAGGGCAUUAGCUGGUGCUGAAGACAGUGGCUGCUUGGCGAGCCUGGAUCUCCAAGUGACCCCCUCAGCAACUCCUGAUGAACAGGACUGAAGCCAAUAUUAAAGCAAGUCAACCAAAGGUUCUCUGGUGUAGACAAGACAGCAAAAGGACAGACUACCUUGUGGAACCUAGCAUUGUUCUCCUUCUGCAGCACUAAGUAACAUUUGUUCUCCGUUAAGAUCUUUGCAAACCACACACAAGAAUUGCUGGUCAUCCUGCCAAUAGAUGCUGCUCACAGAACCAAAUUUCCUGUGCUGAAUUGUCACUCAUGGGCCUGAGAGUAGGAGACUGGAGACCAAGGUGGCUAGAAUCCAGUUGGGCCUGAUGUCUCCCUGUUGAAAGGGCUCCUUGUGGAAUGAAUAGCACAUGGCUCCUGUGGUGGAUCUGAUAGUGGCAUAGCACCAAGUGAUGCAGGCCUGCCAGGGGCCACAGACACAGAAGAUGCUCCCGGGGUCCCCCAUGUACUCCAGACACACUGCAGGCCACCUCUCCCAGCAGGUUGCCAGUCAUGGGCCCCAUCAUCAUGACUUCUGUCCAAGGUGUGCUCGGAAAUCUCUUCCUUAACUGUGACUUUCUGACAGGUGGAGGAUGUGGUCAGGAGUGGGAAAAGGAUUCGAGACGGGAAGAGGGAGGGGUUCAGGAUGAAGAGAGAUAAUCUGUGCCACAGAUGCUGGCCCUGCAGUUAGCUCCCACCUAGUCCGUGCACACACAUUCUAAUCCCCUCCCAUUCCUUUACAUGCUGCGGCCAGAGAGGCCUUUCUCAAAGUGGAAGUCUCAUCCUCACUUCUCUGGUUACAGUGCUGGGCCAUGGGUAACUUACAAGGCUUAGCAGGAACUGUCUGCGCACUCCCCCUUCCUGCCCACUACCUUGUUUCCCUCCAGUUGCGAGAGAAAACAUUGAUUGAGCAUUAACUAUGUGCCAGGCUUGUCCUAAGUCCUUUGCAUGUAUUCACUCAAACAAUCCUCACAACAUUCCUAUCACAUCUCCCAUUUCACAGUGAGGGUUCUAAAGCACGUAGUGGGUGAGGAACUUGUCCAGGGUCACACAACUAAGUGGGGGUGGAGAAACAUCAAAUCUAGGUGGUCCAGGUGGUGGCCAGAACCCAUCAGCACCUCACUACAGCUGCCUCCAGUUUCUCGCUCUAGGAAAUACUCUUCCCUGUCAACUCCUGUUGUCCUCUGGGCUCAGUUGACAUGUCAUCUCCUUGAGGAGGACAUCCUGAGAUGCUCCCCGACUAGGGUGGGCACCCACUUCCACACUCCAAAUGCCUAUUUGACCUGUGUAUCGCUGCAUCCCCACUGCCUGGCAGAUAGCAGGCCCCUAAUAAAUAUGAUUUGAGCAAAUAAAUAUAGUUCUUCAAAAAAUAGGGAGGACUUCUUGCUUCAGGUAAUGGUAGGCUAGGACAUUUGGACCAACCCUCCUGCAGAAAAUAGCCAUUUAUUUUGAUGCAAUAUAUCUGGCUAUGACUAGAGAUUUCAAAUAUUUGGAGGGCUAUUAUGUGAAGAACUAAACUUACUCUUUGUGACAUAGAGGUCAGAAAUUGGUCGUUUCCAUAGAGUAUGAGAGAGACAGAAUUGUGCUCAUCAUAAGUAUCUUUUUUAAAAGUUAGACUUAAUAAAAUGGGCUGCCUUGGUAGGUGGUGAGUUCUCUGUCACGAAAGAGAUUCAGCCACUUGCUCUGAGAAAGCAUGGAGAAUAUCAACAUUGUAAGGGUCGACCACCUCAUCUCUGAGGCCCCCUCCUCACUUAGGUUGCCAUUGCAGGUGGAACACUGGGCUGAGUGUCAAAGAACCUGGGUUCCACAAGCUGUGCGACCAUGGCUGGUUGUUUUGGAUCUCAUUCCUAAUAUCUGUUAGUUAAGCUGACCCGUCAAUACUGACCCACUUCACAGAGUUAUGAAGGGAUUAAAUUAGGUAUUACAUGUAAAUCUGUUUUGUUUGCUUUUUGUUGUUCUUUUUUGUUUUGCUUUUUUCUUUGCAUUAUGAAAUCCCAAGUCAACUUUUUCCAUUCUUUUAUUUUUUUAAAAAUUGACAUCAUCAUUAUAACCACAAAAUAAUUUUUAAAAUGGAAAAAAAAAACUCACCUGCAACCCCACAAUCUAAUACAAUAAUCAUACUUUUUUCCCUUUAUUCUCCUUUAUUGUGACCAAGGAUGACUUUGGGCAUUGCUGUGAGGAACUAUUUCGUUUAACACCCUACUACCUGAACAUGAUGCGUACUCAGCCUUUCACCACCCCCCAAGUAGCUACACAUGAUGUGAUAAUAGUAUUGGUGGUGGUUUUAGAGAGUUGGAGAGAAAACUGAAGUUGGAUUUGGGUAAAAGAAAAAAGAGUGGGAAUUAUUUUUUCUCCAUUCUAAAGCCCAUAAAGCAAUGUUAAUUGUUCCCACCCCUCUGCUAUUCUGUCUCCUCAGGUACUGUGUGCAGAAAUGUGAUUGAGAUUCAAGUCAGGGCCUCUCUGCCCUUUUCCCUCCAGAAACAAAACCAAGAUAAUUUAUCCUGAACACGGUGAAAAAAGGAAGGGAGGGAGGAGAAAAAGUCCGGGUCUCACCUGGGAUUCUCUGUCUCCUGCAACAUGAAGGAUUUAGCCUGGGAGGAGGUGGUGAGAACUCUGGGAGAGAAAAAAGAAGGAAAGAAUAGUUUUACCCAUGCUGAAGUUAAUUUAAACCUUCACCUAGAGAAGCAAAAAAAAAAACCCACACUUUCCCAUUUUGUGCCUCCCUUCCUAGAGUUUUAGCCAAAGGUUUAGCUAAGUAAUUGGUUUUACCAGGGCACUCACUCCUCCUAUCCCAAGUCUGUUUGACUCCCUCCCCAUCAUCCUCCUCACCUCUUUUCAGGCAGGGUGGGGAUAGCAGCAGGAGGAGAUUUUGGGAGCCUGGCAACUCCUGCAAGGACCGCAGGACAGCCCCUCUGUGGGGAUGCGUGGUGCCCCAUCUGCCGCCCUUCUGAAGAAUGCACUGCCUUCACUUUUUACUGUGUUAGAGUCCAUCCAGACUGUUCUAUCCAAAAAAGUUUCUUUUUCCCCCACAGGCAAUCAGGAAAUGAUUCCUUUCCCGACUGCUUCUGUCUAGUGCCUGGGAAUCUUGAGUCAAUCCCUCAGUAAGUCAGUGACUAGGGAAAUCCCUCUCUGAGACUCCCAGUUCAUGUUGCUUAGGGAACCUGAUAUUUUCGUGAAACCUGCCUACACAUGGGCAGCCCAACAGCAGAACAAAUGGUGGUGACCAAAGUGAACAAAGAAGUAUAGUUGUGCCAGCUUCGUAGUUGCCCAUGUGGACAAGUCAGCAGGAUCAGGACACGAGGAAGAGUAAAUGUGAGACAGUCAAUGUGACUUCUGCGAUAAACAGAUUUUUAAACCCCGAAAUUUUGCAAAAUUUUGGUGAAACCUGAACUUUCUUCGUUGCAUAUACUGGCACUAUCUGUACCAUCAUACAACCGUCUCACAUUAAAGCUAUUUUUCUUGGGCACUGAUGAGUAAGGUUGGUAUGUUUGAGUUCCUCAGAUCAACAAAAACCCAUUUUCCUGUAAGUCUUACAUUUAGUAUUUAAGGAACUAAAACUUAAAUACAUUUUGUGAAAUGGUUGACACUUCACUGAUAAUGAUUUAUUGCUUGGAUUAAUAAAUUUUCCAAAAGUUGUCUUAUGUAGAAUAUGGUUUGCAACCAGCAGAACCAUUAAUCUAUACUGCAAUGAUAUGCACUAUGUAUAAUUGUUUAAAAGCCUCUACUUAAUGAUGUAAAAUGCUCUAUUUAAUUACACAUUUGGGUAAACUGUAUACUAACAUCUGAUGGCAUUUUUCCACUGUUUGUUGCUUUUUUCAAAUACUUUAUUGUACAAAGCUGUUCUUAAUAUUUUUCAAGUUUUUUUCUUUGAAUUUUGCUAAUGUUUUCCUUGAAUUAUGAGCACUGACAGAAUGUGCUUAGCACUUUUGGCUAUUCACACAGCUUUUGAGCAUGAUUUGCAUCCAAUAUUUACAUUGCUAGCAAUAAUAAGCCAUCUGUGAGUUUUGUCAAAA
ensembl:lncRNA HCG18 HLA complex group 18